ensembl:lncRNA
CAGACGGCUCUGCCCGUGACGGUUGUGAACAGGUAACGGUCUCAGGUACCCAGGCAUAUUUAAACAUUAACGCUGCGGUCUGGUGUUGGGGAGUUCAAAAACUGGGUCAUCGAAGAGAGGAAAGCGUGGAAACUACAGCGUUCACCCCAGGGUUUGGCUAGCAACACGCUUCCACUUGAGGGUUUGCGGUCAGCCCCUCUGCUGCCUGCCCUAAUCCUUCAUGGUGUCGGAGAGUUGGAUGCUUCAUCAGAAGUGGAGAUUUCAUCCUAGCAGUGGAGCCGGUGCCCUGCUCCCCGCGGGGGAGCCCGUUGCCUGCGUAAGGAAGCAGUGCGGGCCGCGGCUGCAAAGCCCAGUUUGCAAAGCAGGGGAGCAGCACAACGCAGGUUUUUAUUUUCACUGGUUUUAAAGGGAGGCUGCUCCGCGCAGGAUGACCCCUAGGUGGUGCCUGGAUGCUGCAGAUGCGGCGCCCGCGCGGCCAGGGGAAGGGCGUGCGAGGGAGGGAUCCAUCUUUGUCCAGCACCGCAGCACCCAGCGAGGCGGGGAGGCAGCGCCUGAUGCCCCAUGGGCCGCGUCCAAAUGGCUGGAAAAGCUGCGAGCUGGGAACACGCACGAAACCAGAUGACUUCACCCUGGAAAGCGCACGGUGCCUGAGCCUGGCCGUCGCAGCUGGGCAGCGCCAGCGGUGGGCGGCACCUGGCCCGCGCUGGGCAUGUUCCUUGUCCCUGUGCACAUGCAAGUUCAGAUGGCUGCGUGCAGGAGACGCGCAGAAGCCGGCAGCUCGCGACGCAGAGACCCAAGCGCUCGGCAGAGAGACGGACGUGGCUGGAUGGGUCCUGGCAUGCGCAGCUCCGGGCUCGCCUGCGCCAGGUCAUCGCGGAGGCAUGCAGCAAGGCCAGUGGAGCAGGAGGAGGAAGAAAC